GAGCCUUCAUAUGCUUAUGCACCUACAUAGCAAUUUACAAACAAAAUCACCAAAUGUGAACAACAACGCAGACGAGGAACUCAAGAGUGAUCUUGAUGUCAAAUGGGACUUAUUUGGCAAAUGUCCGAUGAUGAGAAGCUAAGUAGGGAAAUUAAGUAGGCCUUAAUAACCUUGUUUUGAUUUUCUUCAAACAGGAAAUUGCAAAAUUUUAUUGUUUAUGGAAGCAGGAAAUUUUUUAAUUUCCUGCCAUGCUGGAAAGGCUCUCUGCAUGUCUUCAGGGUUUUUUUUUUUUUUAAUUUUUGUUUUAGAGUCUUCAUUUGAGUCCUAACCAGCUUAGGAUAGCAUUAAUCCUUUUAGUUUUGUUUGGAGUUCAAAUCCUGAAGAAGAUUAGGAUUAGAUUGGAGCCAACAACUACCCAAAUUUAUAAUGCUUAUUAUUCAGUUUUAAAUCGAUAAAAAUUUCCUGCAAAUGUUACUUUUAGAUGGUGUGAUGCUUAUGGAACCUUAGGUGUGAUGCCUUGGGAACCUUCACAGAUCUCAUAUGAUAACAAUGGCUUCAACACAUUAUGAGAAUUUGCACAAAGACAAGUUCACGCCCAAAGAAAAACUAUAACCUUCAAGACAAGGGUGCAAUUU
rnacentral:misc_RNA from 1 species